rfam:Gossypium raimondii Chr02_contig_1482, whole genome shotgun sequence.
UAUUAAAAAUUCUAUCCAUUUUUACUGUUAAAACUAGCAUGAUUGAUGAAAUAAUCAAACAUUUACACGUGGCAUGCUAAACGUAUAGGGAUCGAUUUUUAAUAAUAGAAAUGAUUGGAAUUUUUAAUA